rnacentral:piRNA from 1 species
UGAAGGUGUCCACAAAGUACUUUUCCCUCA